rnacentral:rRNA from 1 species
UACAGAGGGUGCAAGCGUUAAUCGGAUUUUACUGGGCGUAAAGCGCGCGUAGGCGGCUAAUUAAGUCAAAUGUGAAAUCCCCGAGCUUAACUUGGGAAUUGCAUUCGAUACUGGUUAGCUAGAGUGUGGGAGAGGAUGGUAGAAUUCCAGGUGUAGCGGUGAAAUGCGUAGAGAUCUGGAGGAAUACCGAUGGCGAAGGCAACCAUCUGGCCUAACACUGACGCUGAGGUGCGAAAAGCAUGGGGGAGCAAACAGGG